rnacentral:rRNA from 1 species
AGAGUUUCGAUCCCUGGCUCAGGAUGUAACGCUGGCGGCGUGCUUAACACAUGCAAGUCGAACGGAGUUAUCAUUUUUGAAGCGAUUAGCUUGCUAAGAGUGGAAAUGUUGGUAACUUAGUGGCGGACGGGUGAGUAACGCGUGGAGAACCUGCCUUACGACAGGGGGAUAACACUUAGAAAUAGGUGCUAAUACCGCAUAAGCGCACAGGACCGCAUGGUCCGGUGUGAAAAACUGAGGUGGUGUAAGAUGGCUCCGCGUCUGAUUAGCUUGUUGGUAGGGUAACGGCCUACCAAGGCGACGAUCAGUAGCCGGCCUGAGAGGGUGAACGGCCACAUUGGGACUGAGACACGGCCCAAACUCCUACGGGAGGCAGCAGUGGGGAAUAUUGGACAAUGGGGGAAACCCUGAUCCAGCGACGCCGCGUGAGUGAAGAAGUAUUUCGGUAUGUAAGGCUCUAUCAGCAGGGAAGAAAAUGACGGUACCUGACUAAGAAGCCCCGGCUAACUACGUG